rnacentral:lncRNA from 1 species
ACAAAUCAAGUGCUAUGAAUGUGGUGAAACCGGGCACAUCAAAUCAAAUUGCCCAAACAUCAAAAAGGAGAAGAAACCUUUUAAAAAGCAACGUGCAUAAAAUCAGAAUCAACAGUAACACCCAGGGGAGAUAAUUCAUCCACAAUCACGCGAAUACCGUGCAUAUAGUCAGUAAUAGAUUUAGAACCUUUUACCGGAUUGUGGAGCUGCUAUUUGAGAGCCA